ACCGGGAAGGGAGAAAAACAAAAGGGAGACGAGACACAACUCUAGGGAAAGGAUGUGUGUGCGUGCGUGUGUGUGAGUGUGUGUACGUGCGCGCACCCUCCCUCCUCUGCUGCUAGAAGGGAGGCUCCGGCAGCGGACAGGCAGCAUCCAUCCUCCCACUCUGGAGACCAGUGGCCCCGGUGGGUCCAGCUCGCACCCUCUGGCUGUGGCGGUCGCCUGUCCCGGCCCCGCACGCGUCGCAGAAGCUGGGGGAGCUGUCAGUCUGCUCCCCUCCUCUGGCUGCCUGCACUCGCUCGUCCGCCCCAGAGCUCGCUCUCCCUCUUGGGCGGCUGUACCGUUGUGGGCUACGUUCAGAGAAGUCUCACAAUUGCCAUGAGCAGGGACAUAAUAGAGUUUAAAGGCCGCCGUAUUUCCUAAGUUUUAAAACAGUUUGCUUCGACGCUGUUGUUUAUGACAACCGCGUGGCAACACCAGGUACAAUCUAAUGUUGGUUCCAAUUCUUCCCCUCUUUCUCUACCCCCGUUUUCCCCCUUUUCCCAGUGUGGGACACACCCAGGUGUGGUUUUCAAUGGGGACUGGUUUUGUGGGGAUGGACCAUUCAGUACGGAUUGAUUUAUUUAAGAACCGCUUAUUUAAAUAAGUGGUUGUUCAGAGUCAGAGAGGAAUGUUUCAGAAGACAGUUGCAUAGAGCAAGGUGGAUUCGUGUUACACUGAUCUUAUUCACAUUCAGAGGGCGUGAUACACAUUUCAUUCUUUCCGAAGUUCAUGGUUGCUGAAAAAAAUAUAUUUGGGAACUCUACCACGUUUUCCGAAUUAUUCUUUCCCUUUUGGCUGCCUGACCUUGGAAUUCAAUAAACCUACUAUUAAUGAAAGUUCUGUGACUGUGAAGAUAAAUCAGAAUAGUUCCUGCCCUCAAAAAAUUCACACAUCAGCUUUGGAAGAGACACAGAUACAAGGAACUAGACUGAUACUGGUAACUGAAGGAGAAGACCACUUUGUACCAGUUUAUGAUGAUCUACUUGGUCCAUAGGAAUCACCCUGCCCACUAAAGGAGUGAGGCGACC